rnacentral:rRNA from 1 species
GGGGAAUUUUGCACAAUGGGGGAAACCCUGAUGCAGCGACGCUGCGUGAUUUAGAAGGCCUUCGGGUUGUAAAAAUCUUUUUUAUGGGAUGAAAAUGACAGUACCAUAAGAAUAAGGUCCGGCUAAAUACGUGCCAGCAGCCGCGGUAAUACGUAUGGACCGAGCGUUGUCCGGAAUCAUUGGGCGUAAAGGGUACGUAGGCGGCCCAGUAAGUUAGAAGUGAAAUAAUAUAGCUCAACUAUAUAAAGCUUUUAAAACUGCUAGGCUUGAGAGAUGGAAGGGAAAGUGGAAUUCCUAGUGUAGCGGUGAAAUGCGCAGAUAUUAGGAAGAAUACCGGUGGCGAAGGCGACUUUCUGGUCAUCAUCUGACGCUGAGGUACGAAAGCGUGGGUAGCAAAC